CUGGAAUCUCCUUAGUGUAUUCUUUCAGCAUCUACCCUCCACUACCCUCCCUUCGCUCCUAAAACCUAAUGAAGAAACUAAACCUAAUGGAGAUUGUGUCCUGUCCAAGGUUCAGCUAUUUCCAUUGCUGACAAUUACAGGUUGUGUGACUCUGGCCAAGUCCCUUAGUGCCUCAGGUCUGCAGUCAUCAAGUAUAAAUCUUGAGAGAUAUACGCUUCCAGCCUUGGCAUCUACUUAGCAGAACCCAGCUAGUUUCAGAGUUCUUGGGUUUCUAAGCCAGUUCUAUUUGUCUAGCAAGAGGUGCUAUCUAUAACUACAUCACUUCUCAGAGGAAGAAAUGACCAACAGGAGCACAUUGAACCUGAAAGGGGCUGAAUAACCAUGCCUAGCUGACCAGAUCUAGGCCAGAAUUGGUUGGACAAGAUAUAUCUGAAGUGUAAUUGAAAUGUCUGUUCAAGCAGUCCCACAAAGUGCCUUUCUCUUUCAAGAAGAUUGUAAUGAUAGUGAUGGAUUAUUCUUUGUGUGUUAAGAAUGUGUGAACGCAUACUUAUGAGCCUUUUGCAUCUUAAACAUUUCUUUUGUA